rnacentral:lncRNA from 1 species
CGAAAACAUUUUAUGAGCAGAACUGAGGUUAACAGCGAUCAAAUCAAACGGAUCUCACUAGAAAAUGCGUAUGAAAUGAUGACUGCAAUUUUGAAAUCAGUUUUCUUCGUAAUUUUUGUCAUUUUCGCGUCUUCCAUACACUGCAUUGAUGAUAAAUGUGCCACUUGCAAUGCUAUUGCUGUGAGUAUUUUUAAUCUAUAUAUUUGAUCUUUGCAGUCAGUAAUUAUGAUUUUAGUGUACUUGAUUUCGAUCCUAAUGUUAUAAUUUUUAAGGAUUUUCUUAAUAAUUUGCAUUUUUUUUUAUGUUCAUUGUUUGCAGGAGGAGCAUGAAUGUAAGAGUGUUUUCUCUCUCUCUCUCUCUCUUUCUCUUUUGUCGUUUUUUCUUGUUUGGUUUGAUUAUUUUAUCACAGUAAAAACUAUGCUCCUUUACCUGCUUAUUAUAGUUGAAUACUUCGAAUUUCAAAAUGUGUGAUCAUUUUCAGUUAGAUAUAAAGUUAACCUGGAAGUAGAAGCUGAGGAAGAAAAUAAACUGCAUUUUGUCCCGGAAUAUGUUUGGAUAACUUUUUUUUUUCAUGCUUUUAAGUUAAAAAAAAAAAAAAAUGUUAUUUAGUUUAAAACUUAUUUACUUUUAAGCUCCUGUUUGGUGCUGAUUUUUCAAGUCAAAUUUUUUUACUGUUAUUUAACGAGGCCAGUCAUCUUUUCUGACAUCUUCACUCACAGAUGGGACACACCUUUCAAGUUAACAGUCAAAAAAUUGAUUUUCGAAAUCAGCACCAAAUAGGCUUUAAGUAAGUUUGCUUCUAAGUGAACUUUUUAACCUCGGACGAACAUUUAGACUAGGCAUUCGGAUGGACACUAAUUUAUGACAAUUGGGGUCUGAAUUUAAAGGCUAGGAAAUCUUUUUUUUCUGAUCGAUAAAUAUAAGAUUCUAUUGAUCAAAAUCAUUUACAAGUACACCGAGCAUACUCUGGACAAUUAGACAACAAGUAAAAUACAACUACUUUGAACUUACCCGAGCAAUCCAAAGAAAAGAUAUACAAACAAUAAGAACUACAGUUCCAAAACCAACAACUCAUAAUUAAUUAAAACAUGUGGGUACAAAGCAAACAUAACCUUGUACACGUGUGUUUUAAUAAGUCUUACAAUGCUAUACACUUGUGGGCAAAGAUUCUCAAAAACCUUUCUAUUCCGUGCCAACCAAAUAUGGUAAGUGGUGCUUGCAAGUGCAAUUCUUUUAGCUUUACUUUGCCAAGAUGUUCAUUGGGUGGGUUUUGUUUGCAAUAUCGGGAUAUAAUGAUGAAACAUGAAUAGGCAGAAAUGGGAACUUGGUCUACGUUAGGAUGAGGCAUCGGCUUCACUGGUUGAAUUAAGAUUUUUAGUUUCGAAAAUUAAAUUGCUGACUUCAGAUAUCUAGCAUAGGAGUAGAAUUGAAACUUUGUCAGAUGCGAGUAGGAAAUUUGUUGCUCUACAAGAUUUAUAUGUGUAUAUAUGUCAUCAUAUUAAAUGGACAAUCACUUGCAUGGGGUUUCAGUUAGACUCUAUCUUCACGUGAUUGCUUCGUCCAUUUUGUUGGUAAGUACUUACUUAAAUCACACAGGAAAAACCAAGAAAUCAUUUAGACAUGAGACACUGCUUGGACUCUAAAGGUCAGCGUGAAGGAAGUUAAUAGAUUUUUUUUUUUUUUAUGACCAUGAGUAUCCGGGCCAACUUACGUGCAACUCGACUAAUUUCAUGAUGCCCUGAAGUUUACAAUUCGAUACUCGCCUCAAUAGUCCUGAGAGGACUCGAAUUGGUGACCACUGGGGGACAAAUACAAGACCUGACCAUUGAGCUAUCCCUUAGAGUUGAAGGAAAGUUAAUAGAUUACUGUUAUAAUGCCAAAGGUUUCUUUUCUAUGUACUAGAUAAUCUUUGUUUAAUCUAAUUUAUGAAUCUCACAUGAGCUUAAAGUGUAAUGCUUUUUGAUGUGAGCCUCAGAGGCGAUUUAUCUAGAGUAGUUCUUGCUUUUGUAAGAGGCCAUUUAUCUUAUCAUAUUCAUUUUUGAACCGUGGACCGUGUACAAACUUUUAACACUGAGAAAUCUAAGUUAGUUUUAGAUCGGGGGUUUGUUUUGGGGUGGGUGGGUGUUAGUGAGUGGUGGAAUAUUUAAUGUUUUAUAUUCAGAAAAUUUGUAGCAUAUACACAUACCUUUUAUUUGCCUACCAGCUAAUGUUACUCUAAAUCAAUUUCAUUCAUCUGGUGUUGCUAAACUUCUUGACAUUGGAAAUACAGAAUGCGUUGAAGGGUGAAAUUAUCUUGCUGAGCUCUUUUAUCCUUGUGUAUAAACUUGAUACAUGCUUUCUUUAUGGGAGGCUAACAACUUCAUAUUGCUGCAAUUGUCGAUCUCCUGGAUGGACUCUGUGAAAAGAUGCAGGACUAUACUCUUGAGAAGGUAGCUGGUCUUGCAUUUCCCGUUCUAAGUUAAUGGUUUAAUUAAUGUGAGAGUAUGUUUUGCAAAGAAAGUAACAUUUUUAAGAUCAAAAUUGUUUUCUGUAAUUAUCUUGAUAAGUCACCUAAGGUUUUGAUGCUGAAUGUAAAAGGCCUGUACGAAGUGGUUCGUCCAGCAGCACACUACUUUGGAAACUCAUCACGUGUUCUUUUCCCUAUGCUGAUGUUGGUUCUCCAAAUUGGCAGGUAGAUUCAAGCUCAAAACUAUGGAUCAAAGUGAAUAAUUGGGACAACCUUACAACUAGUAUGUAUAUUAGCUCUAGUUCUACCAAUACUUACCAUUUAGUAAAUAUUUGAACUCUCUUAUAUUCGCGUGGUUUCUUAUUCAUCUGCUUGCUAUUGUAAUUGUUUUAAUUAACAUCAAUAAUUCAUCUUGUAUAACUUAGCUGAAUCUAAAUCACAUGCUUAAUAUUGUAUUUUGUAUAGAAGUCACUUUUCGUUGUAGUCAUCUAGCCCCUUAACCUGCGUUGAUAAUUUUUUAUGGAAACGUUAAAACAUUGAACUAAACUAGAUUUUUUAUGCUGAUUUUUCCAACCAAUAUGCUAGUUCAGAUAGUGGUAGUCAAGCCUCAGGAUUUCAC